rnacentral:rRNA from 1 species
AUGAACGCUAGCUACAGGCUUAACACAUGCAAGUCGAGGGGCAGCAUGGUCUUAGCUUGCUAAGGCCGAUGGCGACCGGCGCACGGGUGAGUAACACGUAUCCAACCUGCCGUCUACUCUUGGACAGCCUUCUGAAAGGAAGAUUAAUACAAGAUGGCAUCAUGAGUCCGCAUGUUCACAUGAUUAAAGGUAUUCCGGUAGACGAUGGGGAUGCGUUCCAUUAGAUAGUAGGCGGGGUAACGGCCCACCUAGUCUUCGAUGGAUAGGGGUUCUGAGAGGAAGAUCCCCCACAUUGGAACUGAGACACGGUCCAAACUCCUACGGGAGGCAGCAGUGAGGAAUAUUGGUCAAUGGGCGAGAGCCUGAACCAGCCAAGUAGCGUGAAGGAUGACUGCCCUAUGGGUUGUAAACUUCUUUUAUAAAGGAAUAAAGUCGGGUAUGGAUACCCGUUUGCAUGUACUUUAUGAAUAAGGAUCGGCUAACUCCGUG